AGAGUUUGAUUCUGGCUCAGGAUGAACGCUAGCGGCAGGCUUAACACAUGCAAGUCGAGGGGCAGCGGGAUGUAGCAAUACAUUGCCGGCGACCGGCGGAUGGGUGCGUAACGCGUAUGCAACCUACCUUAUACAGGGGAAUAACCUUUCGAAAGGGAGACUAACACCCCAUAGUAUUGAUUUAAGGCAUCUUAGAUUAAUUAAAUAUUUAUAGGUAUAAGAUGGGCAUGCGUAUGAUUAGCUAGUUGGUAAGGUAACGGCUUACCAAGGCGACGAUCAUUAGGGGUUCUGAGAGGAAGGUCCCCCACACUGGUACUGAGACACGGACCAGACUCCUACGGGAGGCAGCAGUGAGGAAUAUUGGUCAAUGGGCGCAAGCCUGAACCAGCCAUGCCGCGUGCCAGGAAGACGGCCUUAUGGGUUGUAAACUGCUUUUACAUAAGACUAACCGUAUAUUUGCGAAUAUACCUGAAUGUAUUAUGAGAAUAAGGAUCGGCUAACUCCGUGCCAGCAGCGGC
rnacentral:rRNA from 1 species